rnacentral:rRNA from 1 species
AGAGCGAACGCUGGCGGCAGGCCUAACACAUGCAAGUCGAGCGCGUGUAGCAAUACACGAGCGGCAGACGGGAGAGUAACACGUGGGAACGCGCCCUUCGGUUCGGAAUAACUCAGGGAAACUUGAGCUAAUACCGGAUACGCCCUUACGGGGAAAGAUUUAUUGCCGAAGGAACGGCCCGCGUCCGAUUAGCUAGUUGGUGAGGUAACGGCUCACCAAGGCGACGAUCGGUAGCUGGUCUGAGAGGAUGACCAGCCUCACUGGGACUGAGACACGGCCCAGACUCCUACGGGAGGCAGCAGUGGGGAAUAUUGGACAAUGGGCGCAAGCCUGAUCCAGCCAUGCCGCGUGGAUGAUGAAGGCCUUAGGGUUGUAAAGCACUUUUAGUGGGGUACAAAAGCUAACUGGCUAAUACCUUGUGGUCUUGAUUUAACCCAAAGAAAAGCACCGGCUAACUCUGCGCCAGCAGCCGCGGUAA